CCUACGGGGGGCUGCAGUAAGGAAUAUUGGUCAAUGGACGAAAGUCUGAACCAGCCAUCCCGCGUGCAGGAUGAAAGCCCUAUGGGUUGUAAACUGCUUUUAGCAGAGAAGAAAAGCUUCCAUUUAUGGGGGUCUGACGGUAUCUGCAGAAUAAGCACCGGCUAACUCCGUGCCAGCAGCCGCGGUAAUACGGAGGGUGCGGGCGUUAUCCGGAAUUACUGGGUUUAAGGGGUAGGUAUACGUCGUUGGUGAAAUCGUGUCGCUGAACGAUAAAAUUGCCAAUGAUACUGGUACUCUUGAAUGGGGUGGAGGUUAGCGGAAUGUGACAUGUAGCGGUGAAAUGCAUAGAUAUGUCAUGGAACACCAAUUGCGAAGGCAGCUAACUGGGCCUUGAUUGACGCUGAGGCACGAAAGCGUGGGUAGCGAACAGGAUUAGAUACCCUAGUAGUC
rnacentral:rRNA from 1 species